ensembl:lncRNA
UCCUUUGCAACCCAGGCCAUUCUGUGGUUAUAGAAUAGUUUUGAGAAAACAGCCAUUGAUCCCUUUGCCCAGUCACACUGAUACAUUGUGGGUCUGGUUUCUAUAGGUAGCCACUAACAGGGUGAUCACAACAGGAAGGAUGUUUGCCCAGGGACGGAAAUCAGUGCUAACAACUUCAGAGAGCUCUCCAUCCUCCUGAUCAAAGACUGAGCCAUGAACCAUCAUCCUAUCUCCUGCUGUCUGCUGGUGCACCAAUGGGGAACAAAUGCUUUGGAGGGAUUUAAGAUGAGCACACGCUGACAUUUUCCCUUGUGAUUCCAAUCAGGAUUAAACUCAGUGAGUGCAGGAAAGUGCAGUAAAAGCAUUGGGCCAUCUCCAGGUCGCCGCUGUGCUUUCCUCAUAUUGUUUCUCUCAGCUCUUUUAUAAUUCAUGCAAGGAAGAAGUUGUUUGAAUCAGGGCAAAUCCUGAGGUGGCUGUGGUGUGUUCUGAAACCCCAAAUGGG